rnacentral:rRNA from 1 species
AGAGUUUGAUCAUGGCUCAGGAUGAACGCUAGCGGCGGGCUUAAUACAUGCAAGUCGAGGGGUAGCAAUACACCGGCGCACGGGUGCGUAACGCGUAUGCAACCUACCUUUAUCUGGGGGAUAGCCCGGGGAAACCCGGAUUAAUACCGCAUAACAAAUUGACUGGCAUCGGUUGAUUUUAAAAGAUUUAUCGGAUAGAGAUGGGCAUGCGUAAGAUUAGAUAGUUGGCGAGGUAACGGCUCACCAAGUCUACGAUCUUUAGGGGCUCUGAGAGGAGAAUCCCCCACACUGGCACUGAGAUACGGGCCAGACUCCUACGGGAGGCAGCAGUAGGGAAUAUUGGGCAAUGGACGCAAGUCUGACCCAGCCACGCCGCGUGCAGGAAGACGGCCCUCUGGGUUGUAAACUGCUUUUGACUGGGAAGAAAAGACUCCUUGCGAGGAGAGUUGACGGUACCAGCAGAAUAAGCCACGGCUAACUACGUGCCAGCAGCCGCGGUAAUAC